UGGCUCAGAUUGAACGCUGGCGGCAGGCCUAACACAUGCAAGUCGAGCGGUUGAAGGAAGCUUGCUUCCUGAUUCAGCNNNGGACGGGUGAGUAAUGCCUAGGAAUCUGCCUGGUAGUGGGGGACAACGUUUCGAAAGGAACGCUAAUACCGCAUACGUCCUACGGGAGAAAGCAGGGGACCUUCGGGCCUUGCGCUAUCAGAUGAGCCUAGGUCGGAUUAGCUAGUUGGUGAGGUAAUGGCUCACCAAGGCGACGAUCCGUAACUGGUCUGAGAGGAUGAUCAGUCACACUGGAACUGAGACACGGUCCAGACUCCUACGGGAGGCAGCAGUGGGGAAUAUUGGACAAUGGGCGAAAGCCUGAUCCAGCCAUGCCGCGUGUGUGAAGAAGGUCUUCGGAUUGUAAAGCACUUUAAGUNNNAGGAAGGGCAGUCAGCGAAUACCUUGCUGUCUUGACGUUACCGACAGAAUAAGCACCGGCUAACUCUGUGCCAGCAG
rnacentral:rRNA from 1 species